rnacentral:rRNA from 1 species
CGACCGGCGCACGGGUGAGUAACACGUAUCCAACCUGCCGAUGACUCGGGGAUAGCCUUUCGAAAGAAAGAUUAAUACCCGAUGGCAUAGUUCUUCCGCAUGGUAGAACUAUUAAAGAAUUUCGGUCAUCGAUGGGGAUGCGUUCCAUUAGCUUGUUGGCGGGGUAACGGCCCACCAAGGCGACGAUCAGUAGCCGGCCUGAGAGGGCGGACGGCCACAUUGGGACUGAGACACGGCCCAGACUCCUACGGAAGGCAGCAG